GACGAACGCUGGCGGCGUGCUUAACACAUGCAAGUCGAACGCUGAAGCUCAGCUGUUGUUGGGUGGAUGAGUGGCGAACGGGUGAGUAACACGUGAGUAACCUGCCCCCUUCUUUGGGAUAACGCCCGGAAACGGGUGCUAAUACUGGAUAUUCACUGGUCUUCGCAUGGGGGUUGGUGGAAAGGGUUUUUCUGGUGGGGGAUGGGCUCGCGGCCUAUCAGCUUGUUGGUGGGGUGAUGGCCUACCAAGGCUUUGACGGGUAGCCGGCCUGAGAGGGUGACCGGUCACAUUGGGACUGAGAUACGGCCCAGACUCCUACGGGAGGCAGCAGUGGGGAAUAUUGCACAAUGGGCGCAAGCCUGAUGCAGCGACGCCGCGUGAGGGAUGGAGGCCUUCGGGUUGUGAACCUCUUUCGCUCAUGGUCAAGCCGCAACAAUGGUUGUGGUGAGGGUAGUGGGUAAAGAAGCGCCGGCUAACUACGUG
rnacentral:rRNA from 1 species